AAAAAACUAGAAAGUCUCAUUCCCUUGUAAUACCAUCAUAACAGAAGUCUUUCUUUUUUCACCCCCAUAUUCCCUUGCCGUAGCAGUCCACUCAUAUACACAUCAUUGCUGGUUCCUAGCCAUGUUACACACACUUGCACACAUACACUUCUGCAAAAAUCCAACAAACUACUUGGUUUCGCCUAUAAGCUUACCGGCGCGAUGAUGACUGGACUCGCUCGUCGAUGUCGGACUAGGGGUGCGGCUGGUUGUCUCGCUGCAAGGCUGGUGUUGAGGAAAACGUUGGCACUGACGCACGAGGGCAAGGAGAUCGCUGGACACCGGGCUAAACCCACCGACGCUAGUAUGCUUGAUGACGUGCCCAAGUUGAUGGAGGCAAGAGCUCACUCUUGAGGGUGUUGUUCUCUUUAUACUUGGACUCUUCUUUUUUUUUGUUAUUCUCAAAGUCAAAUUGUGUCUUAAAUUUGUUUUUUACCAAAAAAAAAAAAUUGUGUCUUAAAUUUGAGCUGAAACUCAUACGAUUUUGAGUUGUUCAAGUUUUGAUGUUUUUUU
rnacentral:lncRNA from 1 species